GUUGUGUUGUACGUUGAAUUCCCUGAAAAGGCUGCAAAGCUGGCUGUUGACUUGGCAACGGAGGACGCAUUGGUGCAGGAUGAUGAGAAACAUGUGCUUGUUGAUGGGACACAGGUACAGGUUGCAAAAGAGCACCUUGUGUUUGCUGCUGUGUAUAUGAAGCAUUCUGGGGGUGCAUAUGAUGUGUUUGUUGAGGAUAGGCCUGUGGUUGUGGGUAAGCUUGCUGCUGGGCAUGUGGAGGCUGCAGCUGAACUUGAGAGUUUAACUGCAUCUGAGGUUGAAUAUUUUGAUGUGGAGGUAAAGCUUGCAGAUGUGGAUGUUGUUGCUGUGCAACAAUAUGUUGCUGCUGCGGAGGUUGAACUCGUACAUGUGGCUGCACCUGAUGAGCCGUUGCUUGAGUAGCAACUUGCUGGUUACCAACUUGAGUAAGAGCAGAUGGAUGUGCUGCAGGUUGUACUUGGAGACCAGAUGGUUGGAGAGGAACAUGACUUGGUUGGAACUGUGGAACUUGGGCUGACUGAAUUGAUUGAUGAAGCUGUGACUGAUCUGCAGGUAGUUGAACAUGGGAAAGAUGAGGGUGACUUUGGGGAUGAGGUUGAACUGGAUGCUGCUGAAGCUGCGGUUGACUUGUCAAUGGAUGGACCUGGGGUUGACUUUGAGCUUGCAUCAUCAGUUGGGAGGAUUGCACUUGAGGCUGAACAUAAGAAGCAGGUUGUGCAGAUCCUUGCACCACAUUUUGGGAUGGUACUUGCAUUGAAGGUUGCAUGUAAUGCUGAUACGCCUGCUGGUAUUGGUUAUACUGUUGAUAUUGCUGCAUGUAAGGGUUGGAUCCAGGAUGCUGCUGCUGAUAAUAUUGUGAGUAUUGGAGCUGCUGCUGCUGCUGGUACCAUUGCUCAGCUGUUGGAGUUUG
rnacentral:misc_RNA from 1 species